UUUUCAGGACAAAUUUGUUAGUAAUUAAAGAAGUUGAGAGACUAAGUGGUAAUGAAGAAAAGUUCAGGGACUGAAAGUUGAUAUGGAGAGAAAAAAAAAAAGGAAGAGAAAGGGAUGAUCGAUGGGGGAGGAAGGGAAGCUUUUGCUGCCGGAAAUGGCUGGUAGGGGCGAGGGCGAGCGGAGGCCGUCAAGCUUUGGCGAGGAGUGCUCCAGCGUCGCUACACUGCGUCGAGCUUCGGCCGAGGGGUGCUCCAGCGUCGCCAGCGCAGCACUGCCUUCGUUCUCUCCACUUGAAGCUACCGUCAGCGUCGUUGCAGCUGGUUGUCAAAACAGACGAGUUAACAAGCAUGGCAGUAACUCCGGCAACCAUUUCGGUGAAUCUAGUUUCAAAUGGCCAGCGGCUGGUGCAUUUCUUCGAGGAUAGCAUCAAAUGUGAAGGUUGUUGAGGAAGGAGAUCGAGCAAGAAGAAGCUUGUAAGGACAGUUUAGUUUUUAGAGUUUUUCUGGCUAGUGCCGUUGAGCUUCAAAUGAUCUGAGCACGCAUCCGGACUCUCCUCGUCAUAAGCUUUCCAACGGCACUAGUUUCGUGGCGAUCGAACUCCGUUCGAAAAUCGACGGCCGAGAUCGUCCGUAAAUAUUUUCGGAUGAUCGAGGGUUAGAUCGGAAGAUCGGAAGUGGGGAUCGUCAUCAGAGCGUCAUUUUUAGUCCGUUGGUGUGUUCGGAUCGUCGAUCGGACUCCGGUGGCUGGCGGCGAGUCAACCGAGCAAUCAAGCGCCUCGCUAAUCCGCCAGUUCGGCUUGCUCCAGCCGAGGCAUCGGAGCAGAGAUAGGAGGUCGUUAAAGCUAUCUGUGAUUGUUAGUCUUCCCGCGGCUCUUACCUAGCAACCCGACUCCUUCAUCAUCGGGUGAUGAAAUUGGUUUGGUAUGUUAACUUGUAAAAUCUUAGAUUCUCCGCAGUAGAAAUAAUAGACUUGUCAGUUGUAAAUUAUUGUAGUUUCGGGCCUUGCCUAAUUCUUCGGAUAAACCUAAUUAAUUAUAUAGAAUUUAACGGUUAAGAUAAAUUGUGGCAUCAAUAAUAUCAUAUGAGAUCUAAUUAA